UUUGGGGAUCCUUUGGGACCUGUUGGGGAUCCUUUGGGGAUCUGUUGGGGGAUCCUUUGGGGGAUCCUUUGGGACCUGUUGGGGGAUCCUUUGGGGGACCUGUUGGGGGAUCUGUUGGGGGAUCCUUUGGGAUCUGUUGGGGGAUCUGUUGAUUUGGAGCUCGAGGCAUUUGCCCAGAAGCAGGAAUCACCCGGACGGCUCGCGCUUACUCUCUUUAUCGUCGCAUAGCAGUGAGGAACGUAAGGACCGGCCGGACGGCCGUGUUUUGGUGUGGAGCCCAGAGGAAACUCCCCUCACACAAACCAACAAAGUUCUCAUGGCGUCUCUGUUCAGAGCGCCCGGCCAAUCAACCGGAGACAGAACACAGCCUCUUUGUUGCCAGGAGCGCACAUGCGAGAGGGACAAGGGGAACGAGAGAGAGAGAGAGAGAGGAGGGAGGGAGGGAGGGAGCCAGGACUCCCUGUGCUGGCUGUUUUGACCGACCGAUUGCCCUCCUAACUAUGUAUGUGCAUUCAGGCCGGCCACUUUGAGGGCGCUGGGAGCUCACCUCGGGCCGCCAGGCCAGGAUUACUGAAGGACACUGUCUAAGGGGACAUGCCUCUGAGGCCCAAGGCACCAUUGACCCUCCCUCCCCCUCCCUCCCUCUCCCUCCCCCCUCUCCUUCUCUCUCUCCAAACCAGUCCCUUGAGCAAGCACACAUGGAAAAAGGCUCUAUCGCUUGUUCCCCACUUGUUUCCAUCUGCACCCGUAAGGCUUGACCUCCGAUAUCCCUCCCCAUGCUCUCCCUCUCUCUCUCUCUCUCUCUCUCUCUCUCUCUCUCUCUCUCUCUCUCUCUCUCUCUCUCUCUCUCUCUCUCUCUCUCUCUCUCUCUCUCUCUCUCUCUCUCUCUACGUAUCUCUCAAAAUGUACAGCUUCUGCUGCUCACUCCAUCCUCAACAACUUCACACACCCACACACACCCAUACACGGAUACACACACACAAGCCCACACACUCACACACACUCAGCAUAAUGUGCCCUAAUGGAAGUGUUGUGGUGUAAAUAUUCAUGAAUGACUCGUGCUCUGUGCGGCUCCUGUGUUCCGACGCUACGGUGUGCUUGGUUUGGCGCAGGGGGUCGGUGUGUUUGUCGCUCUGUCUGUGCGUGGAGCCUUCGCUAAACGGUAGCAUCUGAGUCACAUCGUGCCCGUGCCUCCUCACGCUGUCUCGCUCGGGGUGUGAUGGACAACACGUUAAGAGCAGGGAAUCUAAAUCAGAGCAGAUCCAUGUCAGGGGUCGCCCUCACGCUGAGACCUGCUCUCCUCGAAAGCUUUUAGUGUGAGUGCGUGGUAUGGGCCCUGGCCCCCCUGUAACAACACGAUCCGCAGUUGCCUGCAAUACGAUGUCUAUGCAUACACUGAGAGGGCAGUGGUCAACCUCGCGCCCCCGGCAGACACACAGUGGGCCUGCUGGCAACUAGAGGACGCGGCCACUGCCUCUCAGGCUCCAAGGUGUUGGAGUCCCGCUGUAGCCUGGCCUAAUGGUAUGCUGUUUGUGUUUGCUCACAUGCAUCAUUAUGUCCCUGAGUCAAACCCUGUCGUGGUUUUUGCUGCAACAAGUGAGAGAGAGAGAGAGAGAGAGAGAGAGAGACGCGCUCGUAAACAGGAGAUUAGUGCCAGGUGUUGAUCGUCGGGGAGGGGUGCGGCGGGUGGGUGAUUGCUGCGCCCGUCGCGCCACACAAUUAUUCACGGGGGGAGGCGAAAUACGCCCCUCCGGAAGGAGCGAUGAAAAUGUCCAAUCUAAGGCCGCAGAGUGAUCUCUCACUGCUGGGAUCCAAGAUCCACAAGGCGAGCCCUGUGUCCUCCGCUGUGGUCUAAUCAUGAUGAGGCUAAGCUUUGUCCAUGUGUGUGUAAACCGUGCUGCUGUAGCUCGCUCCCCCGCAAUCAAUAAAAGAUCUCCCCAUCUGGGUUUCAUUUGAGGUGACUAUCACGGGGAGUGCAGACGAUGUUCAGAGCGUUGUGUCGUUAGCUCGGUAUCUGCCAUGGAGGAAGGGCCCGGAGGAAGGGGCCCGGAUGGGCGGUGUGGCGAUCGGAUGCCCGUCUGAGUGCCUCACUGUGGGUCUUAGUCAUGCCUCGGUUUUUCUCUCCCCACCGCCUCAGGCUGCCGACACAGCGUGGCUCUGUAGCCUGUCGCUCGCGGGUCGGAUUAGAGCCCGUUAUGUAGACGAUGCUAGACAAGGUGCCUUGACGUGAGCCAGUGCCUGAGUUUACCCCACUGAAGGCUAAUCCCGAGCCCCCGCCCCACUUAGAUUCCUGCAGCGUCUCCCAGCCUGUAAUCCAUCAGGAUUUCUCCUUCCUGUCUGAACGGGCUGGCCUCCGGUCCCAGAUGUCGAGAUGCCGGAGCAGACGGGAGAUAGAUUGAGGAAGAGUGACAGAGAAAGAGUGAAGAGGAGGAGGGGAGCUCAGGUGGGGAUGAAAAGGAUAAGGGUGGG
ensembl:lncRNA